AAAAAAAAAAAAAAAGAAUAUAUGAACAAUAUCUUAAUUUUAACAGUCAGAAUUUUACAUUCCUUAUUUUUCUCUUUGAACUCAUUUGUAUUUUUCUAGCAUUGACAUCUUAUCCUAAUGUAUUCUUUUAUACUGGAAAGAAUUUUAUCAAUCACACGAUCAUACUUUUCUAUAAUGAAAAGUAAAUUCAUUCAUGUAUUUAGUGAAUGGGAAUAAAAAAAUGCUUUAAAUUGUCACCCAGUUCUUCUGAGUUCUAUGCAAAAACAAUUAUAAUUAAAAACAUGUAAAUUUUCCUAUGUCCAUAAAGCCAUAUCAAAUUUAUUUUGGUCUGAGUAAGCAAUACAAUUAUAAUAAGAUGGUGUUUUGUAUUACCUUUCUAACUUUUUUACUUUAAUAGUGAAAGUACUGAGAAAUCUCAUGAAUUUAGUAGAUGGUUAUAAAACGUGCUUUAUUUUAGCCAUAUCACCCAUUCUUCCAAGUUGACAGCAAAGUGAUCUAUAAUCCGAAUAAUUGGUCAAGUAGUAAGUGGAUUUGGUUUAAUGUCUAUAUUUGUGGAAGUAGAAAUUAGUGACUCCUUUAACUUGAAAAUAAUUGGAUACCCAGUGUGUAGAAUCAUUAACUUCCUCACCACAGAUAUUUUGAAUUCUCCAUUUGGCUCUUCAAGUGUUGUUAGACACCAGCUCCACAGUAAGUUUCAGGAAGCGCUGAGUGUUACGGUUUCCUUUAUGAGGUAGUAGAGGGGGAGAGAUGAAAGGGCAGAGGAGGUAAAUGAAAACUGAUAUGUUGUUUUAGCAGAAUGGUUCUAGAAAAUUGUAUAGAUGGAAGUUGAGAGCUGAGAAAUCCAUUUCCUUGAAACUCUCCAUGCUCAUGUACUUCUAAGGGUUAUACAUGCAUGACACAGUUGGUAGACCACUGGUUUACUGUAUUCCAUCUUAUUCUUAUCUUUUUGCUGUAUUUUACCAUUUUCUGCAGGUAUACAGAAAUACUUCAUAAAUCAACGUUGGUUUUUUUUUCUGGUUUUUGAUUGCUCCUGAUCCCAGGUCUUCAUACUUAAUCACUCUAUGACUUCCUUGGAAAUGGAAUCAGGGUAUCAGUCCUUGAAAGGGACCCUAUAAAUCAUUUUAAAGAAUUUGAUGGUUGAGAUUCAGAAAGGCUAAGUGAUUUCUCCAAGAUCUGACCAUUAGAAAGUAGAGAAGUUAGAGUUUAAAAAAUUUGUUUUUCCCAACUUUGUUGCUUUUCUUACUAUAUCCCCUGCUUCCUUGUAAAAGGAUUGAUCUUUGUAAUUUCCUUAGCAAUCUUUCUUUAAUGAACAUUAUUGAGUAGCAAAGCAUCUAUAUAGUCCAGUGAUUAUUUGAGCUAGAGUACAAACACACUCAAUUUAAAACAUGUUUGAGUUACUUCUUAAAACAUAAUCAGAGAUAAAGCAAAGCCAUUAUUGAAAUUAUAAUGGGCCAGUUGGAAUGAUACCAUUUGAUUUGCUGAAAUGAGAUUUAUGUAUAAAAGGUUUUUUUAUAAAGAAAGGUUUUUCUUAUAAGGAAGGCUGUAUUUCACCUAUACUUUAAAAACUAAGAGUAAAACUUUUUUACAUUGAGGAAUAAAAUGAUAUUCCUGAUCUAUAAAUUGCUCAUUCUGUAGCCUUUUAUGUAUGAAAUGGUGGGUGAUGGAAUUUUUAAAUAUUUUUUUUACUUCAUUUUACUUUUUCCCCGAAUUCUUCAUAGUGAACAUUUUAAGAAAAGUUAUUCCAAAAGGCAAACAUUUUUUAAAGACUUUUUUUUUACAUCAGUUUUAGAUUCACAGCACAAUUAAGAGGAAUGUACAGAGAUUUUCCAGAUACCUCCAGCCCCAACACAUGUAUAGUUUCCUCCAUAAUGAACACCCCACAUCAGACUGUGGUACAUUUGUUACUAUUGUAUGAACCUACAUUGAUAUAAUCAUGCAGCGUCCACACUAUACAUUGGGUUGCCCUCUUGGUGUUGUACAUUCUAUGAAUUUGGACAAAUAUGUAAUUAUAUGUAUUCAUCAUUAAUAAUAUACAGAGUAUUAUCAUUGUCUUAAAAUCCUCUGUGCUCUACCUAAUUAUUCCUCAACUCCAGGCCCUAACAACUACUGAUAUUUUUAUUGUCCCUAAUUUUGCCUUCUUCAGAAUGUCAUGUAGUUGGGUUCUUACAGUCCCCAGCCUUUUCAGAUUUGCUUCUUUCACUUAAUAAUGUGCAUUUAAGUUUCCUCCAUGUUUUCUUAAUGGCUCAUUUCUUUUUAGCACUGAAUAGUGUUGUCUGGAUGUACCACCACUUACCCAUUCGCCUACUGAAGGACAUCUUGGUUGCUUCCAAAUUUUGGCACUUAUGAGUAAAAACUGCUACAGACUUACUCUGCAAAUUUUUUGUGGACAUAAGUUUUCAACUCCUUUUGGUAGAUACAAAAGUAAUGUAAUUGUGGGGUCAUAUAGGUAAAGCAUGUUUAGUUUCAUAAGAAACUACCAAACUACUUUCCAAAGUGGCUAUACCAUUUUGCGUUCCCGCCAGCAUGAAUGACAAUUCCUGUUACUCCACAACCUCACCCAACAUUUGGUGUUGUUGGUGUUUUGGAUUAGCCAUUCUAAUAGGUGUAUAGUGGUAUCUCAUUGUUUUAAUUCGUAUUUUCCUGAUGACAUAUGAUGUAGAGCAUCUUUCUAUGUUUAUUUGCCAUCUGUAUAUCUUCUUUGGUGAGGUGUCUGUUAAGGUCUUCGGCCCAUUUUUUAAGUGAGUUGUUUUUAUAUUAUUGAGUUUUAAGAAUUCUUUGUAGGGGUGCCUGGAUGGUUCAGUCAGUUAAGCAACCAACUCUUGAUUUCAACUCAGGUCAUGAUCUCACCGUUUGUGAGAUCCAGCCCCCAUCGAGUGAGGAGCCUGCUUGAGAUUCUCUCUCUCCCUCUCUCUCUGCCCACUGCCCCCUGCUCAUGUGUUCGCUUGUGCUCUCUCUCUCAAAAUAAAUAAACAUUAAAAAAGAGAGUUCUUUGUAUAUUUUGGAUAACAAUCCUUUAUCAGAUGUGUCUUUUGCAAAUAUUUUUUCCCAUUCUGUGGUUCGUCUUCUCAUUCUAAUAUUGUUUUUUGUAGAGCAGAAGUUUUAAAUUUUAUUUAAGUCCAGCUUUUUUUUUUUCUUUACAUUUUCUUAUAGGAGUCUUAUAGUUUUAUAUUUUAUAUUUAGGUGUGCGAUCCAUUUUGAGUUAAUUUUUGUGAAGGGUGUAAGGUCUGUAUUUAGACUCAUUUUUUCAUGUGGAUGUCCAGUUGUUCCAGGAUCAUUGGUUGAAGAGACCAUCUUUGCUUCAGGCUAUCUUUGUUCUGUUGUCAAAGAUCAGUUAGCUAUAUUUCUGUGGGUCUGUUUUUUGGUUCUUCUCUAUUCUGUUUCAUUGAUCUAUUUGUUCUUUCACUAAUACCACACUGUCUUAAUUACUGUAGUUUUAUAGUAAGUCUGGAAGUCCAGUAGUGUCCUCCCAAUUUUGUUUUUCCUCUUCAAUAUUAUCUUGGCUACUCUGGAUCUUUUUGCCUUUUUAUGUAAAUUUUAGAAUUAGUGUGUUGAUAUCCACAAAAUAGCUUACUGGGAUUUUGAUUGGGAUUGCAUUGAAAUUACAGAUCGAGUUGGGAAGACUUUGAUAAUAUUGAGUCUUCUCAUUAAUGAGCAUUAAAUAUCUCUCCAUUUAUUUAGUUCUUCUUUGAUUUUAUUCAUCUGAGUUUUGUCAUUUUCCUCAUAUAGAUCUUGUACAUAUCUUGUUAGUUUUAUACCUAAGUAUUUCAUUUUUGGGAGUGCUAGUGUAAAUGGUAUUGUGUUUUCAAUUUUCAAAUUUCGUUUAUUGCUCUUUAACAUUGCUAUAAUUGCUCAUUAGUUCUAGGAGACUUCCCCCCACCCCCUGCUCCAUUUUUUCAGAUUUUCUACAUAGACAGUUAUGUCAUCUGUGAACAAAGAUACUUUUAUGUCAUCUUUUCCAAUCUAUACUGUGUUUCCUUUUUUGGUCUUAUUACAUUAGCUAGGAUUUCCAGUGUAAUAUUGAAAAGGAAUGAUGAGAGGAAACAUCUUUGCCUUAUACUUGAGGUAUUCUUUGAACAGGGCAAUAGAAAUAAGAUCUAUAGGGGAAAAAAAAGACUACUCAUUAGAAAAUUGGCAGAAGACUCACAGCUCCAGGAAGAAAUACAAAUGUAGGAAAACAUAUUUAGCUUUGCUAGUAAUAAAGGAAGUGCCGAAUGAAUGAAUGAAUGAAUGGGAGAAAAGAAAAGAAAAGAAA